UGAACAAUCAACUUCAUGCUGAAAUUGUCAAUGAGUUGAAGCAAAUGCUUGAUGACAACAAUGUUCUUGCAAAGUCAUUUAGAAUGGUAAGAGAUCAAUUUUAAACGGAUGGAACCUCAAAUGUUAGACUUAGAUUGAUUGGGAAAAGAGGCUCUGAUGGAAGAAGAUACAAUUUACCAACAGUUUCAGAGGUAGCUGCCUUGAUUGUUGGAGAUUUUGAACAAAGAAGGUCUGACAGAGAUAUCAUAGUUGAAAGUCAAUCUGGACAACUACGAAGGAUAAAUGAAUUAAAUGUAUCAUACUUAGGUUUGCAAUAUCCAUUACUAUUUCCGUAUGGUGAAGAUGGAUACAGAGAAGAUAUUCCUUUAAAUGAUAUUGAUGAUUCAACCGGUGGAAGGAAAUAUGUUAGCACGCGUGAGUACUUAUCAUAUAAAAUUCAAGAAUGGAAGGAUGAAGAUCCAACAAUUGUAUCAGGUAGAAGAUUAUUUCAGUAAUUAUUGGUAAAUGGUUAUACAAUGAUGGAAUCUUCUCGAUUGAGGUUCAUUAGGCUUCAUCAAAAACAAUUGAGAGCACACUUUUAUAAAAGGUUACAAGAUGUUGUUUUACAUGGCGACAUAGAACCUUCUUCUCAAUGACAAAGAGUUAUACUUUCUUCCAGCUUUACGGGAGGUGCACGUUACAUGUUGCAAAAUUAUCAAUAUGCUAUGAUAAGUUGCAAAUGGGCGGGGUACCCUGAUCUGUUCAUCACUUUUACUUGCAACCCAAAAUGGCCAGAGAUUACUAGAUUUGUGGAGAGUAGGGGAUUAUCUCCAAAAGAUCGUUCCGACAUUUUAACAAGGGUUUUCAAAAUCAAGCUGGAUCGCAUGAUAAAUGAUCUACGAGACAAUAAAGUUUUUGGAGAAGUAAAAGCAGAAUUACCUCUAAAGUUUGUGUGGAAACAAAACCUAAAAAGAUGGGAAAAAAGAAGAACAUCUGCAUUUUCUAUUGGGAGAAUAUUCUUUGUUCCACCUGGCUCUGGCGAGCAAUAUUACCUUGGAUUGUUGUUGGAUGUCAUUAAAGGUCCAAAGAGCUAUGAGGAUUUAAAAAAAAUAACGGUUGUGAUCAUGGGACUUUUAGAGAUGCAUGUUAUGCUCCGGGUUUAUUAGAUGAUGACAAGGAAUAUGUAGAUGCUAUAAUGGAAGCAAGUAAUUGGAGAAUGACAUCAUAUCUUAGACAAUUAUUUGCUAUGCUACUUUUAUCAAAUUCAAUGUCAUGUCCAAAAAGUGUUUGGCAAGCAACAUGUCAUUUACUAUCAGAAGAUAUCCUUCAUGAAGAAAGAAGAAUAUUGGAUCACCCAGAAGCUGACCUAACAGAUGAAGAAUUGAAAAAUCGUUGUUUGCAAAAGCUUGAAAUUUUUUUGAAAGGUUGUGGAAGAAGUUUCCAGGAUUUUCCAACAAUGCCAAGGCCUGUUUAUAAUACGGAAGAAGUUGACAACAGCAACAGAUUAAUACGGGAUGAAUUGCAUUAUAAUAAACGCAUUUGGCAGAGGAACAUCAACAAUUAGUAAAGAAUUUGACAGAUGAGCAAAAGUCAGUUUAUGAAAAAAAUAAUAAGAGAUGUGAAUGAAGACAAAGGUGGAUUUUUCUUUUUAUAUGGUUUUGGAGGAACAGGCAAGACUUUUAUUUGGAGAACUCUGUCUUCUGCCAUAAGAUCUAGAGGAGAUAUUGUGUUAACUGUUGCAUCUAGCGGGAUUGCAUCUUUGUUGUUACCAGGUGGUCGAACAACUCAUUCAAGAUUUGUGAUUCCUCUAAAUGUAACUGAAGAUUCAACAUGUAAUAUCAAGCAAGGUACUCCUUUAGCAAAUUUAAUUAUUAAGGCAAAGUUGAUUAUUUGGGAUGAGGCACCUAUGAUGCAUAGAUAUUGUUUUGAAACUCUUGAUAAAACUUUAAGAGAUAUUCUUAGGUUUAAAGAUGCAUCCAAUUUACACCGACCAUUUGGAGGUAAAACAAUUGUUCUUGGUGGUGACUUCAGAUAAAUAUUACCUGUCAUUCCAAAAGGUAGUAGACAAGAUAUUGUUAAUUCUUCUCUCAAUUCUUCUUAUUUGUGGCCUCACUGUCAACUCUUAAAGUUAACAAAGAAUAUGAGAUUACAAGGUAAUAAAAUAGGGACACAUCUAGAUGAGUUGAGAGUUUUUUCAGAUUGGAUUUUGGCAAUUGGCGAUGGUAUAGUCGAUACUUCUGUUAAGGGCAAUGAAAAAGUCCAAAUACCAGAUGAUCUUUUGAUAAAACAAUCUGUUGAUCCAACAUCUGCAAUUGUAGAAAGUACAUAUCUGGAUUUCAACAAUCGUUGCAAUGAUAUAGGAUACCUCCAGCAAAGAGCCAUUGUUACUCCAACUAUUGAUAUAGUGGAAUCAAUCAACGAAUAUAUGAUUUCUCUUAAUCAAAGUUCUGAGAAAUCAUAUUUGAGUUCCGAUACAAUCUGCAGCUCUGACAAUACUUAUUCAACACUGGAACAUGUACACACUCCUGAAUUCUUAAAUACAAUUAAAUGUUCUGGAGUUCCAAAUCAUGCUCUUACUCUAAAGGUUGGUAUUCCAGUAAUGUUAUUAAGAAAUAUUGAUCAGUCAGUAGGAUUAUGUAAUGGAACAAGGUUGAUCACAACUAAAUUUGGAAAUCAAGUUAUUGAAGCCAAGGUGUUAGCAGGACAAAUGGCCGGACAUAAAGUGUUUAUUCCAAGAAUGACAUUGACUCCAUCUGAUGCUAGAAUUCCAUUUAAUUUCCAGCGAAGACAAUUUCUAAUUAUUGUUUCUUUUGCCAUGACAAUCAAUAAAAGUCAAGGACAAUCAUUGUCUCACGUGGGUUUAUUGAAAAAACCAGUUUUUAUACAUGGACAACUAUAUGUUGCUCUUUCUUGGGUGACAAGCAGAAAGGGAUUAAAAAUUUUGGUUUGUGAUGACAAUGGGCAAAUAACUACUAAAGAUACAAAUGUUGUAUUUAAAGAAGUUUUUCGAAAUUUAGUUUGACACUAGAAAGAUAAUCAGUGUCUUUUUUGAGGUUUAAGUACUACUUUUGUUACUGAGCUUCAUUAACCAAGUGCGACAAUAGCUGUUGAUAAGAUAUCUGAAACAUGUAAUAGAUCUAUCAGGAUUUUCCAUAACAUGGAUUAACGGGACUUCUUACAUCGCAUUUGUGAAGAAGCACAGAAUGUCAUUUUUGUAAUGUCGAUUUGAAAGAGGGGAUUGUCACUGGAGGUUAAGCUUGGCCACUGCUUCAAAUUUGGCAUUAGUACUGGAGAUGAUGUUCAAUGUCAACUUUCAAAGGUGGAGUGAUGUCGUUUAAUGAUGGUGGUCCUUCAAGGAAAUCCCAAGCCCAGUUUCUCAAAG